rnacentral:rRNA from 1 species
CGCCUCUUGUACAAAUAUGAGAGGUACAGCCUGCCCAGUGACGUUAGUUUAACGGCCGCGGUAUCCUGACCGUGCGAAGGUAGCGUAAUCACUUGUUUUUUAAAUAAAGACUCGUAUGAAAGGCACCACGAGAAUCAAACUGUCUCCUUUCUCUAAUCUGUGAAACUAAUCUUCCCGUGAAGAAGCGGGAAUCCCCCCAUAAGACGAGAAGACCCUAUGGAGCUUCAGGUAACCAAUAACUGCAUUUUAACCACAUUUAAACUACCCACCAAACUACCUUAUUGUCCACCUUAGGUUGGGGCGACCGCGGAGUAGAAAUCACCCUCCACGAUGAACAAAACCUUUUAAGUAAAGGGCAACAACCCUAUACAUCAACAAAUUGACGCUUUGACCCAAUUAAUUGAUCAACGAAACAAGUUACCCUAGGGAUAACAGCGCAAUCCACUUCAAGAGCCCUUAUCAACGAGUGGGUUUACGACCUCGAUGUUGGAUCAGGGUAUCCCAGUGGUGCAGCCGCUACUAAAAGGUUUG